rnacentral:sRNA from 1 species
UUGCUAUCUGCGAUAUGGAAGAUUCGAACCUGCCGCAGGUUCGGGGCUCACGUAGUGAGACAACGGAGCCGCUUGCGGCGACGGCCCGAAGGGCGAGCAAAGCGAGUCAUCCUGCACGACCCACCA